GACGAACGCUGGCGGCGUGCUUAACACAUGCAAGUCGAACGGAAAGGCCCUGCUUGCAGGGUACUCGAGUGGCGAACGGGUGAGUAACACGUGGGUGAUCUGCCCUGCACUUCGGGAUAAUCCUGGGAAACUGGGUCUAAUACCGGAUAGGAGCCAUUUUUAGUGUGAUGGUUGGAAAGCUUUUUCGGUGUAGGAUGAGCUCGCGGCCUAUCAGCUUGUUGGUGGGGUAAUGGCCUACCAAGGCGGCGACGGGUAGCCGGCCUGAGAGGGUGGACGGCCACAUUGGGACUGAGAUACGGCCCAGACUCCUACGGGAGGCAGCAGUGGGGAAGAUUGCACAAUGGGCGCAAGCCUGAUGCAGCGACGCCGCGUGGGGGAUGACGGCCUUCGGGUUGUAAACUCCUUUCGCUAGGGACGAAGCUUUUUGUGACGGUACCUAGAUAAGAAGCACCGGCUAACUACGUG
rnacentral:rRNA from 1 species